rfam:Equus caballus chromosome 7, whole genome shotgun sequence.
AAGGAGAAACGCCGAGAACCGGAUUGGAGUGCGUUUCAGGGGCGCGCGGAAACGCCCCGGGGAGAGCCGGGAGGCAGCGGCGACGGCGCAGCCUGGGACGGCCAGGAGCGCGGGGCGGGGAGCGGCCGGUGGCCGUGGGCGUCUCACCAAAGCGGCCCUGGAGGGGCCCCCGGCUCCCAGCCAAGCCCACGUGAAGCAGCAUCAGGGCAGUUGCAGCUGUAGAGGAACCGCGCGUCGU